AGUGAACGCUGGCGGCAUGCCUAACACAUGCAAGUCGAACGGCAGCACAGCAGUAGCAAUACUGUGGGUGGCGAGUGGCGGACGGGUGAGGAACACAUCGGAAUUUGCCCAGUCGUGGGGGAUAACGUAGGGAAACUUACGCUAAUACCGCAUACGACCUAACGGUGAAAGCGGGGGAUCGCAAGACCUCGCGCGGAUGGAUAAGCCGAUGUCGGAUUAGCUAGUUGGCGGGGUAAAGCCCACCAAGGCGACGAUCCGUAGCUGGUCUGAGAGGAUGAUCAGCCACACUGGGACUGAGACACGGCCCAGACUCCUACGGGAGGCAGCAGUGGGGAAUAUUGGACAAUGGGGGCAACCCUGAUCCAGCAAUGCCGCGUGUGUGAAGAAGG
rnacentral:rRNA from 1 species